rnacentral:rRNA from 1 species
UACAGAGGCCUCGAGCGUUAGGCGGAAUCACUGGGCUUAAAGCGUGUGUAGGCGGAUCGUUAAGUGUCUUGUGAAAUCCCACGGCUCACCCGUGGAACGGCUGGGCAUACUGGCGAUCUUGGGCCAACUAGGGGCAACUGGAACAAGCGGUGGAGCGGUGAAAUGCGUAGAUAUCGCUUGGAACGCCAAAGGUGAAAACAGGUUGCUGGGGUUGUGCCGACGCUGAGACACGAAAGCCAGGGGAGCGAACGGG